CUGAUGGAAAUAAUUUAUUCAAGAAACAUAGAAACCGGAAUGGGGCAGAGGUGGUGGCCCAGAUGAAUGGCUGGAUUCUGCAUCCUUUGUAGGUCAGAACCAGUGAUCUGGUGUGGACCUAAUGAGAAAAUCCAUUGUUAGCAUGUAUCUAUUGUCUUAGCAGAUUUGAUAGUGCAGAAAAACUGUACUCAACCUACUUGUGCUUUUCCUAUCUUGCAAUGAGAGAGCAGGGCCAUCCUUUGGUUUAAACAGUUACUAGGAAACUUAAUUCAAUCUACACCUGUUGCCAGGAUUUCUUUAUUUUCUGAUUUGCCUUCCUUCCUAUAUUUCAUUUCCUAAUUUAAACAGAUAUAAAUGCCAGUUUGUUUUCUAUCCUACCUCUAUUCACCAGGACAGUUCAGCCUUUCCCCCUUCUUUUAAAGCUAGCCCCAAAUAAAAGGAUACUGUUUUUUUAGGGAGAAAAGAAUUAGCAGUAGCUUAAAAUACAGUCCUGUAUACUACUCAUCAAUUUGAUUUUAAGGUGACUGGAAAAUCUAACGCUAAAAUAAAGUAUAAGAGAUACAGUAUUUAUUUGCUUUUAUCGUUCCGUUUACUGGUUAAGUCUAGUCUAGGUAGAGCUUCAAGGCAGGAGCCACUGCAAAACAACUCAGAACUGAUGAAACCCUAGUGUCCUUGUUUAAAUGUAUACUGGUAGAAUUAACAUUAAUACGCAUUAACAAAUACACCCAUUUUCUGUAACCAGCAUUUCUACUUCCGUCAUAACUUUUUGUUGUUGUUGUUGUUGCUGGUUUUUUUUUUUUUUUUUUUUUUUGAGACAGAGUCUCUCUGUAUAGCCCUGGCUGUCCUGGAACUCACUCUGUAGACCAGACUGGCCUCGAACUCAGAAAUCCGCCUGCCUCUGCCUCCCAAGUGCUGGGAUUAAAGGCAUGCGCUAGCACUGCCCGGCCCGUUAUAAGUUUUAAAAGCUGAGCUACCAGACUUUGUUACGUUACCUAGAUGUGAGAACUUUGGUAAGCAGUGCUUGUUUGCAGUGUUUUUUCCUCAUCCAACAUACAUAGUAGGCAGCUCUUUUUGCUUAGUUCCAGGCGGCUUGGGGAGUUAAACGCACCAUUUAACAAUCAUUUGGUGUCAAACGUAAAAUGGUAUGGCCGAUGGCUAGAGGAAACACUUGGGAAGACAAGGCACGGAGCACCAGAGCUCCCUCUGUCACUGCAGCAGUCCUCGGAUCAGUUUUCAGUGGCCGCAACCGCUCCUGUGCAGUCUUUGGCUAUUAAAGUCACGAGCUGCCACAGGGCUGAGCGUGCGCGCGCCUAGAACCCGGCGAUGCUGCCUAGAAUUUCACGUUGUCUUUUAAAUACAGAGAACUGCGCAGAGCAAAGCGUCAGGGUGGCUUCUGCAGGCGACUCCUACACUUUGCGCCUAACCUUACCCAGGCAGCCACUAGGCUCACAAUCUCCUUCCGGCCCGUAGGAGAAGCAACCCAACACACCAAUAGGCUUCUUAUCUUUCUGCAAUGGGGAGGGACCUCACGGCACCUCUGAGCCCCGCCCCCUACGUGACGUGCGCGCGCAGACCCCUUUCCUCAGCGCGUGGCGCCCCCCGGCGGCGGCGGCGCUCCUUCCAUGCGAGGGCCUGACUCUACCACCACCCAUGGAGCCGCAGGCCGAGGAGCGAACUCUCGGGGAGCCUGCGCCUCCGCCUUCUGGCGCCUUGGCGUCACCGACGCCGGACGAAGAGGAGCGGACCGAGGGCGGCGCACCGCCGACGGCGACUCCCGCGGGCGCAUCGGGGGACAGCACGAGUGCAGACGGGCUCUGGGGGCUGCCGGUGGAGCACGCGGAGCGCAGGCCCGAGUGCGGCCGCUGCAGCAUCAGUAUCACUGCAGCAUCAGUACCACUGCAGCAUCAGUACCACUGCAGCAUCAGUACCACUGCAGCAUCAGUACCACUGCAGCAUCAGUAUCACUGCAGCAUCAGUACCACUGCAGCAUCAUCAGUACCACUGCAGCAUCAGUAUCACUGCAGCAUCAGUACCACUGCAGCAUCAUCAGUACCACUGCAGCAUCAGUACCACUGCAGCAUCAUCAGUACCACUGCAGCAUCAGUACCACUGCAGCAUCAUCAGUACCACUGCAGCAUCAGUAUCACUGCAGCAUCAGUACCACUGCAGCAUCAGUACCACUGCAGCAUCAGUACCACUGCAGCAUCAGUACCACUGCAGCAUCAGUAUCACUGCAGCAUCAGUACCACUGCAGCAUCAUCAGUACCACUGCAGCAUCAGUACCACUGCAGCAUCAUCAGUACCACUGCAGCAUCAUCAGUACCACUGCAGCAUCAUCAGUACCACUGCAGCAUCAUCAGUACCACUGCAGCAUCAGUAUCACUGCAGCAUCAGUACCACUGCAGCAUCAGUACCACUGCAGUAUCAUCAGUACCACUGCAGCAUCAGUACCACUGCAGCAUCAGUACCACUGCAGCAUCAGUAUCACCAACUUGUCAGAAAUGUUACUCUGUCAGAAGCUCGGUGAGCUGAUGCUUAGGCUCAGCAAGUUAGCUUAAUGAGCCUCUGAGGUGACAGGGAUGUAAGCUAAUGUUUGUAAACUUAUAUCUCAAACACCAAAAGGAAGUAGACUAGUCAAAGGCCACCCUGUACUGCAAGACACAUCUCCUGAUCCUUCCAGACAGCCACCAGCUGGUGCUAAGUAUUCAAAUAUCCAAGACUAAUGGGAGGGAGGGAACAUCUCAGUUCACACCACCAUGUUUCACUUGCUGUAGCCACACCACAGUCACAAUUACUUAGAAGUCCAGAAGUACAAGUAAGAAGUUAAGGAAAUGUAUGACUAUGAUUAAUGACAGUGAAUUCAGCCCUGUGAGGAAGAAAUAACUGCAAACAAGACGAGGAGUGUUCUAGAGCAUAAUCAUGUGAUUCUGAAGAAAGUGUUCUUUCUUAUAGCAGACCUUGGUCUACACUUCUUAGUAUACUGAGAUUCUUUAGGUCUGUCUGCUACUCUCUGCACUUUAUCUAAUAUCAGCCAUGUUUUUGGCCUCAGUUCUCUUGAUAUUGCUUUUGAUCUUUGCCUCUCAGUCUGUGGGUGUUUUAUUCCAAUGGGAUAUUUGCUUUGGAGACAACAGACAGUUAGAUGUAGUUUUUGAGUCCAGGCAUCCAGUCUAUGACCUUAAUGCCGGCCCCAGAAAGUGUGCUUAUGUCCAUAUCUCCCAGUGCGCCCACUCCAGAUCUCUACCCACUUGUACAUAAUCCAGCAUCCAGCAGAGGAAAGCAGAGUGUUGCGCACAGUCCCUCUGCUAGCAGCAUGCCUUCCCCCAGACAGAUGCACAGUCAAGAUUGGCCGCCGCUUCAGUGAAGAGCGAGAUGUUGAACUUGCAACUGUUUGCCGGGACUCUGGUACAUUAAUAUUAUAUCCAGGGGCUGAAGCUACUAAUUUGGAAGAAUUUAUAUUAGAUUCUCCUGUUUAUCCUUCCACAAUCAUCCUCAUUGAUGGUACAUGGAGCCAGGCUAAGGACAUUUUCUAUAAGAAUUCCUUGUUCCGACUUCCCAAACAGGUGCAGUUAAAAACUAGCGUUUGUAGUCAGUAUGUAAUUCGGAUGCAACCAACAAACAGGUGCCUUUCUACCCUGGAGUGCGCUGCUGUUGCUCUUUCCAUCUUGGAGAAAAACAAUUGCAUACAAGAGACCCUGCUCCGCCCCCUUCAAGCUCUGUGUUCUUUCCAGCUUCAGCAUGGCGCUCAGAUUCGCCUCAGCAAGGAAUAUCUUCUGAGAAACGGAUUGUAUCCCAAGCCAAUGCCAAAGAACAAACGCAAACUCAGGAAGAUGGAGCUGUUGAUGAACAGUGUUAAAAUUUAGCACGUCUGUCCCUGUGGUGCUAGUUUACCUGUCACUGGCUGACAAGACUGUGUUACAUCUUCCCAGUCUAGGCUUUCGCUCUGAAGAAUCGUUGGCCCAUUCUUGUGCUGAAGGACGAGGGCUGCUCCACAGCGCCUUAUGGUUCACUUCCGUUGACUGUGAAAAGCAGUUUCACACUGCCUCUCGUUUUGUUUUUGUUUUUGUUUUUGUUGUUUUUGUUUUUUCAAUACAAGGUUUCUCUGUGUAGCCUGUAGACCAGGCUGGCCUCAAACUCAGAGAUCUGGCUGCUUCUGCCUCCCAAGUUCUGGGCUGAAAAGCAUGCCCCACCUCUGUCUAGCUUCUGUAUUUGCUUUUAAACAUGUGCUUCCAAUACUUUUUUUUUUUUUUUAAAGAAUCUAUUCAAAAUACGAUUAGUCUAGAGUAAGGAGCUGUUGUUUGUAAAAUGAGGAAAAUUGUGUCUGGGAACAUGUUCCCGUCAGUGUUUAUAGGUAUGUAGGUGUAGAUCACUGAUGGAAUAUACCCCGUGAAACUAAUGUUUCAGCCUAGUGAAUGAAAUUAUAAGUGUGAAGUAAGUGACACAGAGGGCAGUUUAUGUCAUUAAGUAGUGUAAGGGAAUAGGGAGACGUUACUGUUUACAGUUGUACUCGGACUCAGCUAAUGUGACUCACGUCUUCUGUUAGCAUCUGAAUUCCUGUGGAGACAUAUAAUUUUGAAAUAACCUGCAUUCUCUAUGGGGGAUGCUGUGCAUAACUUUCAGUGUUCACUGAGCAAGCUAACUGGUGGUAAGAGGUUUUUGAUGAAGUUUCUACAUGGAAAUGACUGAAGUAAAUUAUAAUAAAGCUAUCAUUUUAAGAACAUAUUUCUAUAAGUAGCUCUACUUACUUUUUUUUUUUUUUUUUUUUAAAGAAAAACAACUUUCAAUGUGGAAGAUACAUGCCCUUACCUUAUUUGGAGAAUAUUUACUGAUAUUUUGUAUAGAAAAAGAGAAAUUUAUACAUUUUAUAUUUAUAUCCAAUUUACAGUUAAGCAUACACUUUGGCAAGAUCACGAUGUUUCAUUUUGACUGUUGUUCACAAUUGCUAAGGUUUCCUAAAUUCAGGGUGACAGUGGAAGGGAGAGUCAAGCAUGACUUAGUUUGUGAUCUUUAGUUGUGAUUUUGAUAAAUACCUCUGUGUGUGGCAUGAACACACACCAGUUUCUGAUUAUUUUUAUGCUUUUUUUGUUUGUUUGUUAUUGGGUUAGAUCAGACACUCAUUAAGAACUUGGCUGGUCCUAAUUAGAAUGCUAACAGAUAUGUAGCAUGUUACAGAAAGAUAUUAAAAUUUAGGUUUGUCUUAAGUUGCUGACUUAUAUUUGCAUUUAAAAAUAAGUCGGUCUUUUAUAACCUAAAUGUCUAGUAUCAAUUGAAUAUUUAUAUAAUAAUGAAAUAGUAGUAUUAUGUAUAAUGGUUUCUUAAGGAAUGAGUUAAAAUCAUCUCAUAAUAAUUUUUUAUGUUGAAAAUAAACUUUAUAAAAUC